AAGAAUACGCGGAGGAGGUGGCCCGGGUCGGCGUCGGCGCCGUCCGGCGCGGGCCACGGGCCCGCUUCCAAGUGCGUCUGCGCGCCGGCCACCCACGACGGGUCCUCCAAGUGCCGCUUCCACCGCACCAACUCCCAGGGCCACGGCCACAACCACGGCCAGGGAAGCCGCCCUUCUUCGCCCCCUUCACCGGCCGCGGCCAACGCGGUGCCGCGGCACCCGGCCUCGCUGUCCUCGUCCUCCGGCACCGUCACGACCCAGUGA
rnacentral:rRNA from 1 species